rnacentral:rRNA from 1 species
CCUACGGGUGGCAGCAGUGAGGAAUAUUGGUCAAUGGGCGAGAGCCUGAACCAGCCAAGUAGCGUGAAGGAUGACUGCCCUACGGGUUGUAAACUUCUUUUAUAAGGGAAUAAAGUGAGGCACGUGUGCCUUUUUGUAUGUACUUUAUGAAUAAGGAUCGGCUAACUCCGUGCCAGCAGCCGCGGUAAUACGGAGGAUGCGAGCGUUAUCCGGAUUUAUUGGGUUUAAAGGGAGCGUAGAUGGGUUGUUAAGUCAGUUGUGAAAGUUUGCGGCUCAACCGUAAAAUUGCAAUUGAUACUGGCUGUCUUGAGUACAGUUGAGGUAGGCGGAAUUCGUGGUGUAGCGGUGAAAUGCAUAGAUAUCACGAAGAACUCCGAUUGCGAAGGCAGCUUACUAAACUGCCACUGACAUUGAUGCUCGAAAGCGUGGGUAUCAAACAGGAUUAGAUACCCGAGUAGUC